rnacentral:lncRNA from 1 species
GCUGACUAACCACAAGCCCAGAGGGAAGGCACAUAGACUACUGUGCCCCUGCUACUGGUUAGGUUUUUCUUUUACACAGAGAAAUAAUUUGACUUUAUCUAGGCUGCUACAAAGCCAAUUGUUAACAGAACUAGGAUUAGAAUUCAGAAGUACUAGGUGUCAGGUUUCUGUACAAAGAGCAAUAGUAUUCCACUGAAGCACUUCUGUUUCCCUACAAAUACAACCUAUCUGUGACUGUGAAACCUCAAGGAAUUUGUAUUGAGAACCGCUGGCGCGAAGCGGGUGAUAACGAUAAGAACAGGCAUUGUGCACAGCUAGAGGAGCCGUCUGUGGAAUGCCGAUGGUCGUCUCUUGGUAGAAAUAGUAAGAAACCUUAGAACUGAUCUUCUUCAUUCUGGAAGGCAUGGAAACAGAGAACAAGCUGGCCACUGCAGAAAGUUGUAAGACCUUUCGAGGCUGGCUCGACUGCAGCUGCGUUUUGCUUGGCUGUGAGUUUGCAGAACUUUGAGGCUUUCGGGGGAAGGUAGCUAAAUCUGUAUCAGGGCCAAGGGCACCCCUGGGAAAAUUAAGAAACACCUUCUCUUUUGAGGUUUAACUCGACUAAAACCUCUCUGAUGAUUAGGAUGGCCUCAACGGAAGCCCACUGGCCAAAAGAACAUCGAUAGUUCCCAGGGGAAAUAAGUCGUGAGGGAAGGAAGGGUCAACAGGAAACCAGGACUCAGGAUCCUGGGCAGAGUCGGCUGGUUUCAGCACCGUCUGAGGCUCAUCAGGAAGCUCCUCUCUCACCGACCGUGGCUCUCAGCACUCAGGGAGCGCCACUGAGCAUGCGUGAGAACAGCCGCCCUCAGCUCGCGGGGGUGUCAGCUUCCUUUGAAAACCCCCUCGGGUCUGUGUGCACAAGGCUCUGAACUAACCCUAGUGGGUCACCACGCAGGGCCCCUUCUCAGCGCCUGCUCUCCGCUCCACGUGAGGGAAGCAAGGGCAGCGGAGAACGCGUCCCACGCAGUCAAGCCAGGGAUGGGCCUCGGGCUUCCUUUCUCUGUCCACGAUGCCUCUGGAAGCAGGAUACGGCCCUCGAGGCGGGCUCCUGGGAUUCCUGGGAACACGGGAGGGUGAGCUAUGAGCAGGCCGGGGCAGGGCAAUCAUGGAGACUGGACUUUUGCUCAUAUGGGCAGAAGAGUGAUCAGGAAAUUAUUCUGAAUGUGAAAAGACAUGGCCAGCGUGUGACCGGCAGAUGUGUAUCCUCCAGUGCUCUGGGAGAACGCAGCCCCGGCUGGUAGCCCGGGCCCGUUUCUGUGAGGUCAACACUCACACCACGGCCAAUGUCAGGCAAACAACCCGGUGUCACCGAAGCAGGGUUGGUAAGAGAAGCACAGCCUGCCCCAGCUGAUCGCAGCGCAGCCCAGGAGGCGAGGCCACCGCCCAGAGGAUUCUGGAAACAGCUCGCCGGGGCGAAGACGCAGGCACAGACAGUGCCUUCCGUAGGGUUCCAAGUAUGCAAAACCCUAGGGGAAGCCUCUUCUAUUUAGUCACAGAAAACAGGUGAGCAGUUGCCUGGAGCAGGGAGAGACGGGGAGGGAUUGACAGGAAGGGAGCUCAGGGAAGCUGGUGGGAGUAGAAAGUUCUAGAUCUUGAUUGGGGUUGCAGUUACACUGGAACACAGUCGUUGUCAAAACUCACUGAAGUGGACCCUGAGAAUGGAUGCAUUUUGCUGUAUGUAAGUUAUCCCAAUAAAGCUGAUAUUUAAAAAUAUGUAACACCCCUCCAAGCCAAUGCUGAUAUUGUAAGGAUGAUUUUCAGUACU